GCUCUCGUGGUCUAGUAGAAUGAUACGUGCUUUGGGUCAUAUCAUUCAAUGCACGGGGUCCCGGGUUCAAAUCCCGGCGAGGGUC